rnacentral:piRNA from 1 species
UGGCAAUGCACAUACUUACUAGAUGUUAAA